AACCUUAUCAGGGAACCAUUGGAGGGCAAGUCUGGUGCCAGCAGCCGCGGUAAUUCCAGCUCCAAUAGUGUAUACUAAAGUUGCUGCAGUUAAAAAGCUCGUAGUUGGAUUUCGGUUAACGAACAAUUAGUCUACACAACAUGUGUACGAACUGGUUGAUCGUUUCCUUCUUUUCAGAUACACCUUUUUAUAGGGUGUUCUGAAUCUUUUACUUUGAGAAAAUUAGAGUGUUCAAAGCAGGCGUAACCAAGCCUUUGAAUAUAUUAGCAUGGGAUAAUGGAAUAAGACUUUUUGGCUUAUUUUCGUUGGUUCUUUAGGCCUUAAGUAAUGAUUAAUAGGGAUAGUUGGGGUCACUAGUAUUUAAUAGUCAGAGGUGAAAUUCUAAGAUUUAUUAAAGACUAACUACUGCGAAAGCAUUUGACAAGGAUGUUUUCAUUAAUCAAGAACGAAAGUUGGGGGAUCGAAGAUGAUCAGAUACCGUCGUAGUCUCAACCAUAAACUAUGCCGACCAAGGAUUCGGGGGUGUUAUAUGAAUGACUCUCCGGGCACUUAUAGAGAAAUCACAAGUAUUUGGGUUCCGGGGGGAGUAUGGUCGCAAGGCUGAAACUUAAAGGAAUUGACGGAAGGGCACCACAAGGAGUGGAACUUGCGGUUUAAUUUGACCCAACACGGGAAAACUUACCAGGUCCAGACACAAUGAGGAUUGACAGAUUGAGAGCUCUUUCUUGAUUUUGUGGGUGGUGGUGCAUGGCCGUUUCUAGUUGGUGGAGUGAUUUGUCUGGUUAAUUCCGUUAACGAACGAGACCUUAACCUAUUAAAUAGUGACGUGAAUAUGGAUAAUUUACUUCCAAUCAUUCACGGUUUACUUCUUAGAGGGACUCUUCACGUAAAGAGUGAAUGGAAGUUUGAGGCAAAAACAGGUCUGUGAUGCCCUUAGAAGUUCUGGGCUACACGCGUGUUACACUGACAUGUUCAACAAGUUAUAAUAUUCCUUACCCGAUGGGGUUGGGUAAUCUUUUAAAUGCAUGUCGUGAUGGGGAUAGAGCAUUGUAAUUAUUGCUCUUGAACGAGGAAUUCCUAGUAAGUGCAAGUCAUUAACUUGCGCUGAUUACGUCCCUGCCCUUUGUACACACCGCCCGUCGCUCCUACCGAUGAAUGGUCCGGUGAGGAUUCAGGAUGACCUUUGGAUUUUGAUUCGUCAUGCCACUGUCUGUCAGAAUUUGUUCAAACCUUAUCAUUUAAAGGAAGGAGAAGUCGUA
rnacentral:rRNA from 1 species